GACGAACGCUGGCGGCGUGCCUAAUACAUGCAAGUUGAGCGGUGAAGAUUGGUGCUUGCACCAAUUUGAAGAGCAGCGAACGGGUGAGUAACGCGUGGGGAAUCUGCCUUUGAGCGGGGGACAACAUUUGGAAACGAAUGCUAAUACCGCAUAACAACUUUAAACAUAAGUUUUAAGUUUGAAAGAUGCAAUUGCAUCACUCAAAGAUGAUCCCGCGUUGUAUUAGCUAGUUGGUGAGGCAAAGGCUCACCAAGGCGAUGAUACAUAGCCGACCUGAGAGGGUGAUCGGCCACAUUGGGACUGAGACACGGCCCAAACUCCUACGGGAGGCAGCAGUAGGGAAUCUUCGGCAAUGGACGAAAGUCUGACCGAGCAACGCCGCGUGAGUGAAGAAGGUUUUCGGAUCGUAAAACUCUGUUGGUAGAGAAGAACGUUGGUGAGAGUGGAAAGCUCAUCAAGUGACGGUAACUACCCAGAAAGGGACGGCUAACUACGUG
rnacentral:rRNA from 1 species